AUUGAACGCUGGCGGCAGGCUUAACACAUGCAAGUCGAGCGGAGAUGAGGUGCUUGCACCUUAUCUUAGCGGCGGACGGGUGAGUAAUGCUUAGGAAUCUGCCUAUUAGUGGGGGACAACAUUCCGAAAGGAAUGCUAAUACCGCAUACGUCCUACGGGAGAAAGCAGGGGAUCUUCGGACCUUGCGCUAAUAGAUGAGCCUAAGUCGGAUUAGCUAGUUGGUGGGGUAAAGGCCUACCAAGGCGACGAUCUGUAGCGGGUCUGAGAGGAUGAUCCGCCACACUGGGACUGAGACACGGCCCAGACUCCUACGGGAGGCAGCAGUGGGGAAUAUUGGACAAUGGGCGCAAGCCUGAUCCAGCCAUGCCGCGUGUGUGAAGAAGGCCUUAUGGUUGUAAAGCACUUUAAGCGAGGAGGAGGCUACUUUAGUUAAUACCUAGAGAUAGUGGACGUUACUCGCAGAAUAAGCACCGGCUAACUCUGUGCCAGCCGCCGCCGUAAGAC
rnacentral:rRNA from 1 species